rnacentral:rRNA from 1 species
GUAGUUAGCCGGGGCUUCCUCCUUGGCUACCGUCAUUGUGUUCGUCACCAAGGACAGAGGUUUACAAUCCGAGAACCUUCAUCCCUCACGCGGCGUUGCUGGGUCAGGCUUUCGCCCAUUGCCCAAUAUUCCCCACUGCUGCCUCCCGUAGGAGUCUGGACCGUCUCUCAGUUCCAGUGUGGCCGUUCGCCCUCUCAGGCCGGCUACCCAUCGUCGCCUUGGUGGGCCGUUACCUCACCAACUAGCUAAUGGGACGCGAACUCACCCCAAACCGGAUCGCUCCUUUUACCUCAAGGCCAUGUGACCUCGUGGUCUUAUGCGGUAUUAGCACCUGUUUCCAAGUGUUAUCCCCCUGUCUGGGACAGAUUGUUCACGUGUUACUCACCCGUCCGCCGCUAGAAAAGCUCCGAAGAACUUUUCUCGCUCGACUUGCAUGUGUUAAGCACGCCGCCAGCGUUCAUCCUGAGCCAUAAUCAAACUCUGA